GAUGAACGCUGGCGGCGUGCCUAAUACAUGCAAGUCGAGCGAACGGACGAGAAGCUUGCUUUUCUGAUGUUAUCGGCGGACGGGUGAUUAACACGUGGAUAACCUACCUAUAAGACUGGGAUAACUUCGGGAAACCGGAGCUAAUACCGGAUAAUAUUUUGAACCUCAUGGUUCAAAAGUUAAAGACGGUCUUGCUGUCACUUAUAGAUUGAUCCGCGCUGCAUUAGCUAGUUGGUAAGGUAACGGCUUACCAAGGCAACGAUGCAUAGCCGACCUGAGAGGGUGAUAGGCCACACGGGAAGUGAGAAAGGGUCCAGACACCGACGGGAGGAAACAGUAGGGAAUCUUCCGCAAGGGGGGAGAGCGUAACAGAGAAACGCGGCGGGAGGGAUGAAGGUCUUCGGAUCGUAAAACUAUGUUAUUAGGGAAGAACAUAUGUGUAAGUAACUGUGCACAUCUUGACGGUACCUAAUGAAAAAGCCACGGCUAACUACGUG
rnacentral:rRNA from 1 species